CAGGUGGUCAGGUAGAGAAUACCAAGGCGCUUGAGAGAACUCGGGUGAAGGAACUAGGCAAAAUGGUGCCGUAACUUCGGGAGAAGGCACGCUGACACGUAGGUGAAGUGAUUUACUCAUGGAGCUGAAGUCAGUCGAAGAUACCAGCUGGCUGCAACUGUUUAUUAAAAACACAGCACUGUGCAAACACGAAAGUGGACGUAUACGGUGUGACGCCUGCCCGGUGCCGGAAGGUUAAUUGAUGGGGUCAGCGCAAGCGAAGCUCCUGAUCGAAGCCCCGGUAAACGGCGGCCGUAACUAUAACGGUCCUAAGGUAGCGAAAUUCCUUGUCGGGUAAGUUCCGACCUGCACGAAUGGCGUAAUGAUGGCCAGGCUGUCUCCACCCGAGACUCAGUGAAAUUGAACUCGCUGUGAAGAUGCAGUGUACCCGCGGCAAGACGGAAAGACCCCGUGAACCUUUACUAUAGCUUGACACUGAACAUUGAGCCUUGAUGUGUAGGAUAGGUGGGAGGCUUUGAAGUGUGGACGCCAGUCUGCAUGGAGCCAACCUUGAAAUACCACCCUUUAAUGUUUGAUGUUCUAACGUGGACCCGUUACCCGGGUUGCGGACAGUGUCUGGUGGGUAGUUUGACUGGGGCGGUCUCCUCCUAAAGAGUAACGGAGGAGCACGAAGGUUGGCUAAUCCUGGUCGGACAUCAGGAGGUUAGUGCAAUGGCAUAAGCCAGCUUGACUGCGAGCGUGACGGCGCGAGCAGGUGCGAAAGCAGGUCAUAGUGAUCCGGUGGUUCUGAAUGGAAGGGCCAUCGCUCAACGGAUAAAAGGUACUCCGGGGAUAACAGGCUGAUACCGCCCAAGAGUUCAUAUCGACGGCGGUGUUUGGCACCUCGAUGUCGGCUCAUCACAUCCUGGGGCUGAAGUAGGUCCCAAGGGUAUGGCUGUUCGCCAUUUAAAGUGGUACGCGAGCUGGGUUUAGAACGUCGUGAGACAGUUCGGUCCCUAUCUGCCGUGGGCGCUGGAGAACUGAGGGGGGCUGCUCCUAGUACGAGAGGACCGGAGUGGACGCAUCACUGGUGUUCGGGUUGUCAUGCCAAUGGCACUGCCCGGUAGCUAAAUGCGGAAGAGAUAAGUGCUGAAAGCAUCUAAGCACGAAACUUGCCCCGAGAUGAGUUCUCCCUGAGACUUAAAGUCUCCUGAAGGAACGUUGAAGACGACGACGUUGAUAGGCCGGGUGUGUAAGCGCAGCGAUGCGUUGAGCUAACCGGUACUAAUGAACCGUGAGGCUUAACCUU
rnacentral:rRNA from 1 species